CCUACGGGAGGCAGCAGUGAGGAAUAUUGGUCAAUGGACGCAAGUCUGAACCAGCCAUGCCGCGUGCAGGAAGACGGCUCUAUGAGUUGUAAACUGCUUUUGUACGAGGGUAAACGCAGAUACGCGUAUCUGUCUGAAAGUAUCGUACGAAUAAGGAUCGGCGAACUCCGUGCCAGCAGCCGCGGUAAUACGGAGGAUUCAAGCGUUAUCCGGAUUUAUUGGGUUGAAAGGGUGCGUAGGCGGUCGGAUAAGUUAGAGGUGAAAUCCCGAGGCUCAACUUCGGAAUUGCCUCUGAUACUGUUCGGCGAGAGAGUAGUUGCGGUAGGCGGAAUGUAUGGUGUAGCGGUGAAAUGCUUAGAGAUCAUACAGAACACCGAUUGCGAAGGCAGCUUACCAAGCUACUUCUGACGUUGAGGCACGAAAGCGUGGGGAGCAAACAGGAUUAGAUACCCGUGUAGUC
rnacentral:rRNA from 1 species